rnacentral:rRNA from 1 species
AUUGAACGCUGGCGGCAGGCCUAACACAUGCAAGUCGAGCGAGCGGCGGACGGGUGAGUAAUGUAUGGGGACUGCCCGAUAGAGGGGGAUAACUACUGGAAACGGUAGCUAAUACCGCAUACUAUCGGAUCAGCCAGAUGGGAGUAGCUAGUAGGGAAGGUAAUGGCUUACCUAGGCGACGAUCCCUAGCUGGUCUGAGCGGAGGAUCAGCCACACUGGGACUGAGACACGGCCCAGACUCCGACGGAGGCAGCAGUGGGGAAUCUUCCGCAAUGGACGAAAGUCUGACGGAGCAACGCCGCGUGUAUGAAGAAGGCCCUAGGGUUGUAAAGUACUUUCAGUCGGGAGGCGUUACCGACAGAAGAAGCACCGGCUAACUCCGUGCCAGCAGCCGCGGUAAUAC